AAAUUAUAAACUUCUUUUGUUAGAUAGAGGAGAUGUCCUUGCUGGAGAACAUAGACUUUUUGCUUUAAACAAUUCAAUUCCAAAAUGCAAAAAGAUAAUCUUAGUGAUUUCAAAAGAGUUUGUUAAAAAUGAUUGGGCAUACUAUGAAGCUACUGUAGGAAUUGAACAUUUCCUGGGCUUACAAGCGAGAAUAAUUGUUAUAAACCUGGAAAAUAUAACCAAAACAGAAAUACCGCAAUGUGUUCUUCAAAUGAUGUCAUUGGACGCCAACGAUCAUAUUCGCAAAACAGAC
rnacentral:lncRNA from 1 species